rnacentral:misc_RNA from 1 species
UAAUGUAAAUUACUUGUAGAUUUUUAUUUAUCAUUAGCUUUUAUCUUAAGAUUCUCGCAAAAGCAAAAUAUAAACUCAGUUAAUACAAUACCUAAGAAUAAGAAAUGUUUACUAGUGUUAUCUAAUACUUAUACUGUUCGAAAUUAAAAAUAACUAUAUCAUUUUAAGAGGAUAUAUCGUACCAAAAAGAUGCCACUCAGUCAAGAACCUAUGCAGGGCCAAAUGUUGAGGCCAGUAACGCAGUUGACAGAAACCUAGAGACAUGUAUGCGGACAAUAGUUAUAGGUUCUACCUCUGAUGACAAGAUGGUGUGGUGGAAGGUGGAUCUUGGAGGUGUAUACAACAUUUACAGUAUAAACAUACUGUUUAAAAACUACGACGGAUCAGUCGAUCGUCAAAGAGGACGAUUUGCAGGGUUUUCGCUCUAUGUAUCAAACUACGAUGUAUCAUCAAUUGCUGAUAUAAAGGACUCCACUCUGUGUUACAAGGAUGGACCUCAGUUACCUCCCCUAAACUUUACUGAAAUAUGUACAGUGAAGGGACGUUACGUCAUAUAUUACAGCGAACGAUUGGACGGAGUUACCUACCCAGAAGGAUAUGAAGUCGUCAAUAUCUACACUGAGUUAUGCGAAGUCAUUGUACAAGGCUGUAAGAAUACCAGUCUUUUCGGCAGUAACUGUGACACUCCUUGUCCAACCAACUGUAAAGACAGCACGUGUCACAUACAGAGUGGAGUGUGUUUCAUGUGUAAACCUGGAUGGACUGGGACAUAUUGCAAUACAACAUGUGGCGAGGGAUGGUACGGUGUGAACUGUAGUCAACAUUGUGAAGGACAUUGUAAAGAUAACAUGAUAUGUAAUCACGUGACUGGGCAGUGUGACGAAGGGUGUGCUACAGGAUGGACAGGAACUACGUGUAGCAAAGAGUGUAGCGAUGGAACCUAUGGAUAUAACUGUGUCAACAAGUGUAGUGGUCACUGUUUAUAUGAUUAUCCAUGUAACAAACAGACUGGACACUGUGACAAGGGAUGUGACCCGGGAUAUACUGCAGACAGCGACUGUAGGAAAGAGUGUCCGGGUGGGCAGUUUGGAUUGGGCUGCGUCAAACGUUGUAGCAAGCAUUGUGUAAUCAAGGAUCUAUGUGACCAUGUUAGUGGAGAGUGUACGGGUGGCUGUCUGGACGGUUUUGUAGGAACACAUUGUAACAAUUCUUGUUUGAAAGGAUAUUUUGGCACAAACUGUUCCCAGGUAUGUUCACCAAACUGUCAACCUGAUACAUGUCGACCAACAGACGGAUGGUGUAUUUGUGCAGCAGGUUUGACUGCUAACAACUGUACCAUAGAUAAUUUGCUGAGGAAAAAGAAUACGUCAAAUUCUAGCAUGUUAGUUAUUGGGUUGUCAGUUUCCAUUUUGAUAAACCUCAUUUUUAUAGUGUGUGGAAGUUUGAUAUGCAGGGGAAUAGCCACGAAUCGAGUGACAUUUACUGGCAGUCUACUGUCAUGCCGGGAGAAGUCUGUGUAUCAAAAUUCAGUCGUAAAAAGUGAUGAAACGACAACUUAUCAAGAACUGUACAUAUCAGAUAACACUUACCAGAAUACCACAAUACUAUAAUUUUUCUCCUCAUUCAAGCAUUAAACUUGUCAGAAAUACAACAGUAAUACACUUU